CCCGUCCAGUCCUGCUCCCGCUCCAGCAGCACACUGUGGUUUGUACGGCACUGUGGCCACGUCCAAACCACACUGUGGUGUUAGAGCGAGGGUGGGGGAAGGCACCGCUGAG
rnacentral:pre_miRNA from 10 species